GAUGAACGCUGGCGGCGUGCCUAAUACAUGCAAGUCGAGCGAACGGACAAGAAGCUUGCUUCUCUGAUGUUAGCGGCGGACGGGUGAGUAACACGUGGAUAACCUACCUAUAAGACUGGGAUAAUUUCGGGAAACCGGAGCUAAUACCGGAUAAUAUUUUGAACCGCAUGGUUCAAAAGUGAAAGACGGUCUUGCUGUCACUUAUAGAUGGAUCCGCGCUGCAUUAGCUAGUUGGUAAGGUAACGGCUUACCAAGGCAACGAUGCAUAGCCGACCUGAGAGGGUGAUCGGCCACACUGGAACUGAGACACGGUCCAGACUCCUACGGGAGGCAGCAGUAGGGAAUCUUCCGCAAUGGGCGAAAGCCUGACGGAGCAACGCCGCGUGAGUGAUGAAGGUCUUCGGAUCGUAAAACUCUGUUAUUAGGGAAGAACAUAUGUGUAAGUAACUGUGCACAUCUUGACGGUACCUAAUCAGAAAGCCACGGCUAACUACGUG
rnacentral:rRNA from 1 species